rnacentral:tRNA from 1 species
AGCCUCAUAGCCAAGCGGUAAGGCAGUGGACUCUGAAUCCAUUAUGCGGGGGUUCAAAUCCCUCUGAGGCUGCCA